AGCACAGAAAUAAUGGUUUAAUAUCAGAACACAAGUAAUGAAGAGUUGGUUGAAGAAUAAUUGUAGGACUAAAUCACCUAUACAUCCUAACACUGAGAUCGUCCUAAUACUCCUAGAUCCUUUAAUAGAUUCUAACAUUGAGAUCUGAGUAUGGGUUCAAAUAUCACACUUAUAGAGUUAAAACACACUUGAACACUUGAAUAUACUGUGAAAAGGGAUAGAUGAUAAAGAAUGUGGCGGAGAGUUAGUUUAAGAAUGUGAAUAAUAAUAUGUCUUAGAUCCCAAAAUACAUCCUAACAUUCAGAUCUGAGUAUGGGUUCAAAUAUCACACUUAUGGAGUCAGAACACACUUUGAUAUAUUAUAGGAAGGAACAGAUGGGAAAAAAGAAUGUAGCAGAGAGUUAAAGAAUGAUUAUAAUCCUAAAUCCCUUAUACAUCCUAACAUUGAGAUUUGAAUAUGGGUUUGAAUAUCACACUUAUAUGGAGUUAGAACACACUUUGAUAUAAUGUAGAGACAAACAGAUGAGAAUUUAGUAUGUGAUGAAGAGAGAGCUAGCAAGAUAAAUCCUAAUAUUCGUAGCUCCCUUAUACAUCCUAACACUGAGAUCUUAAGUAUGGUUCAAAUAUCACACUAUAUGGAGUUGGAACACACUUUCAUAUAACAGACAUAGGAAUAGAGGAGAUAAUUUAGUAUGAGAUGGAGAGAGCUAUCAAAAUAAAUCCUUAUAUCCCUAGAUCCCUUAUACAUCCUAACACUGAGAUCUGAGUAGGGUUUAAAUAUCACACUAUAUGGAGUUGGAACACACUUUCAUAUAACAGAGAUAGGAAUAGAGGAGAUAAUUUAGUAUGAGAUGGAGAGAGCUAUCAAAAUAAA